rnacentral:rRNA from 1 species
AUCCCGUGAACCAUCGAGUCUUUGAACGCAAGUUGCGCCCGAAGCCYUNGGGCCGAGGGCACGCCUGCCUGGGCGUNACGCAUCGCGUUGCCCCCCUCCCCCGCUCCCACGGAGCGGGCGGGGCGGGGGCGGAGACUGGCCUCCCGUGCGCCCCAGUCGCGCGGCCGGCCC